rnacentral:rRNA from 1 species
UGGUGUGAAUUGCACAAUCCCGUGAACCAUCGAGUCUUUGAACGCAAGUUGCGCCCGAAUCCUUUCGGCCGAGGGCACGUCUGCCUGGGCGUCACGCAUCGUCGCCCCCACUCCUCCCCGGUGUUUUCUGGGUGCUGGCGGUGUGGGGCGGAUAAUGGCCUCCCGUACGCUUG